rfam:Aptenodytes forsteri contig46011, whole genome shotgun sequence.
AAAAAGGCUUUCCUAAAAGCUACACAGAGUAAUUUCUAGACUGAAG